rnacentral:rRNA from 1 species
UACGUAGGAGGCGAGCGUUGUCCGGAAUUACUGGGUGUAAAGAGCGCGUAGGUGGGCGGCCAAGUCUGUGGUGAAAGCGCCCGGCUCAACUGGGCAUGGUCCAUGGAAACUGGUCACCUGGAGGACGGUAGAGGCGAGUGGAAUUCCCGGUGUAGUGGUGAAAUGCGUAGAGAUCGGGAGGAACACCAGUGGCGAAGGCGGCGCGCUGGGCCGGUCCUGACACUGAGGCGCGAAGGCGUGGGGAGCGAACGGG